rnacentral:rRNA from 1 species
CCUACGGGAGGCUGCAGUGAGGAAUAUUGGUCAAUGGGCGCGAGCCUGAACCAGCCAAGUAGCGUGAAGGAUGACUGCCCUACGGGUUGUAAACUUCUUUUAUAAAGGAAUAAAGUGAGGCACGUGUGCCUUGUUGAUUGUACUUUAUGAAUAAGGAUCGGCUAACUCCGUGCCAGCAGCCGCGGUAAUCCGGAGGAUCCGAGCGUUAUCCGGAUUUAUUGGGUUUAAAGGGAGCGUAGAUGGGGUGUUAAGUCAGUUGUGAAAGUUUGGGGCUCAACCGUAAAAUUGCAAUUGAUACUGGCAGCCUUGAGUACAGGUGAGGUAGGCGGAAUGCGUGGUGUAGCGGUGAAAUGCUUAGAUAUCACGAAGAACUCCGAUUGCGAAGGCAGCUUACUAAACUGACACUGACAUUGAUGCUCGAAAGUGUGGGUAUCAAACAGGAUUAGAUACCCCAGUAGUC